UCUUAAUAAUAAUGUACUGUUCAAACUUAUCUCUUUUCACGACUGAGCACAACUCUUCAAUUCCUGACAAUUCUUUGUCUUUAAUAUAUCCUUUGCCUUUGUAUAAUCCUUUUAAAUCUUUCUUUAUUAACUUGUAAUUUCUAUAUAUCUUCACGGCGAUGUUAUUCAGGCUUUCGCCUUAUGAAUAAUGCAUCAAUUGUCUAGUUGUGCUCAGGCUUUUAUACGCUCUGCUAUAGGGGAAGAAACUACAAAACUACGACUCAUUUCCCCUACGCAAUACAGUUCGUUGAAGCAAGUCUCAGUAACCACAAAUCGGCCAACGCCAAACCGAGUCAUGUCCGCUACGUUAGUUGUGGGACAUCUUAAUCUUUAAAACUAUUUGCUUACUCAUGCAUGUAAGCUAUUCGGUUAAUAAUAUGAAUAUAAAG